GACGAACGCUGGCGGCGUGCUUAACACAUGCAAGUCGAACGGUGAAGCGCCUUCCUUUUUGGUGGGUGUGGAUGAGUGGCGAACGGGUGAGUAACACGUGAGUAACCUGCCCCCUUCUUCUGGAUAACCGCAUGAAAGUGUGGCUAAUACGGGAUAUUCUGGGUCUGUCGCAUGAUGGGUCUGGGAAAGAUAUUGUUUCGGUGGGGGAUGGGCUCGCGGCCUAUCAGCUUGUUGGUGGGGUGAUGGCCUACCAAGGCGGUGACGGGUAGCCGGCCUGAGAGGGCGGCCGGUCAAGUGGGGAGAGAGACCGGGCCCGACCCCCGGAGGGAGGAGGAGGGGGGGAAAUGGGACAAACGGGCGAAAGCCGGAUGAACGCACCCCGGGUGAGGAAGGGGGGCGUUUGGGUUGGAACCCUUUUUCGCGAGGAAAGAGGGCCUGCCUAUUUUGUGGGGGGUUUACGGGUAGUAGGAAAAGAACCACCGCCAAACUACGG
rnacentral:rRNA from 1 species